rnacentral:rRNA from 1 species
GUCGAACGUUGUUUUCGGGGAGCUGGGCAGAAGGAAAAGAGGCUCCUAGCUNNNNNNNUAGCUUGUCUCGCCCUGCUGAAAAACGGAAGUGCGCGCUAGCGCACUCCGGCUUUCGAGCCAAGAUGGCUCUCAGCCUUCGGUUUGCUGGGAACAGUUGAGAACAAAGUGGC